GCCGGGGUGGCCGAGUGGACCAAGGCGCCGGGCUCGAGACCCGGUGGGCCAGAAGGCCCUCGUGGGUUCAAAUCCCACCCCCGGCG
rnacentral:tRNA from 1 species